rnacentral:rRNA from 1 species
GACGAACGCUGGCGGCGUGCCUAAUACAUGCAAGUUGAGCGCUGAAGGUUGGUACUUGUACCAACUGGAUGAGCAGCGAACGGGUGAGUAACGCGUGGGGAAUCUGCCUUUGAGCGGGGGACAACAUUUGGAAACGAAUGCUAAUACCGCAUAAAAACUUUAAACACAAGUUUUAAGUUUGAAAGAUGCAAUUGCAUCACUCAAAGAUGAUCCCGCGUUGUAUUAGCUAGUUGGUGAGGUAAAGGCUCACCAAGGCGAUGAUACAUAGCCGACCUGAGAGGGUGAUCGGCCACAUUGGGACUGAGACACGGCCCAAACUCCUACGGGAGGCAGCAGUAGGGAAUCUUCGGCAAUGGACGAAAGUCUGACCGAGCAACGCCGCGUGAGUGAAGAAGGUUUUCGGAUCGUAAAACUCUGUUGGUAGAGAAGAACGUUGGUGAGAGUGGAAAAGCUCAUUCAAAGUGACGGAAACUAC